ACAUUUUACAAUAUUGAUAAAAUGUAUUCUAUUUUAUCUCUUUCUAGUGCCUGACGUGUGGCCAGAUCCCAGAAGAUGAGUUUCUCUAAGAAGAUCACAUGAACCAUCCCGAAAGGCCUGUUGCUUCGAAGCUCAGGAAUCCAGGGACCCCUUCCUAUUAUGCGAACUUCCUGGGCAACUCUUGAAUAACUCCAUGUAAAAUCUCAGACCUCAGCCAUGUUGUCUUACGCAGUCAAACUUCCUUCCAUGCCUUGUUGAAGUAUUUCCAUCCUUUUUCC
rnacentral:lncRNA from 1 species